UGUUCAUGUAAAAUUUGUAACAGAACAUAGUCGGGAAGUGAACAGUUAUGCAUGGUGUGCACACUUAAAAGCCUGUACGACGAAUGUCAGACGAGAUCCCAAGUUCAUCCCUCUGGCAUAUACUCUCAGCUGAAAACCAUGCAGGUAAUCAAGAAGAUGCUCACGAGUUCAUGUUGGUAAUUCUUGACAGAAUAAACAGCCACCUAGUUGUAGACGAGAAGUAAGUGUAGAUAUUAAUUACACUCAGUCAGUAUUGCAAACAUCACAUGCACAGCAUGACUCAGUCAGCAAUGGAUAAAGUAAUGGCAACUCUCUUAUCGACCACUGUUAAAUGCAGUGAGUGUGAGCAAGUUUCCACUACAUCUAUGGUUUCUAGCCACAUUCUAAUUGUACGUAAGAAUAAUAAUUAUAGGGAAUUACAGGGAGAAAGUAUAGAAAAGUGCAUUGAAGCUACUUUUAGCGAGGUGCACCUCAGUGGGUGUAAUCAUGUAACAGGUGCAAAUCUCCUUCAGAGUACAAAGGUACACAAUGUAGGAAAUGAGUGUAUCUCACAAGAAUUGAUACUACUGUGCUGCAAGGAUGUACCUACACUGCAUAGGGUAUGUAAUGGUGGUAAGUACGUUCAAGAAUCUGAGAUAAAGGGUAACUUGCCUGAUGAAGUGGUGGACGAAGAUUUGAUCAGUAUCCAAUCUUACUUCUCUAAGAAACUCCUGGAUAAAAAAGUUCAAGCAAAGAGAACAGAAUGGAAAGAGAACAGAAUGGAAAUGUGGAGCCAUUACGUCAAAGUGGAACAUGGUUAUGUGUGAUUCAUGUUUUGUCUGGUAUCAUUGGUAAGUUUGGGACCGAAGAAUAAAAAUUAAUGUAGCUACUACAUACAUUUUUAAUAACUAUCUCUUGUAUAGGUCUUGCACUAACAUUGAAGUAGAGAAGAAUACUCCUUCAGAAGAUACAGAUUGGUACUGCAGGAACUGUGCAAAGAAAAUCAGAUUUUUAUAAUAAUAAAUUUUAUUUAAUGUUAAUUUUUGUAGACUACUUUUUACUAUCUAUUCCAUAGCCCUCCAUCUUCUUACCUUCUUCACAGUCCACAGUAGACUAGAGUAGUAUAGAUGAGCUAGUCCACAGGAGUCUACUAGUACAGUCUCAGAAGAAGAAGAAUUCAAAUAGGAGCCCUGACACGUACGUACUGUACACUGUGGAAACCGCGCUGAGUCGGCACAAUAUAUGCUGUGUCAGCAUAUGGAAACCUUCCUGUUAUUAGUCGCUUUCUUCCUUUCAGCUCUAAAUUAUUAGUGUAGUAGGUAGUUCAAAGGUUUGUGCAGACUAUUCAAUCGGGAGGGAGCAUGGUACUCUAUGCAAAGUAAGUUAUUAGCUUUUACAUUUAAAAUUAACAGCUAGAAAACUAGGUUUUAUUCAAAAUCUCACCUUUGGCUGAAUGAACAGCUCCCUCCCGAUUGAAUAGUCUGCACAAACCUUUAAACUACCUACUACACUAACAGUUUAGAGCCGAAAGGAAGGUUUAGACCUCCGGAAUUAGAACUAAAAAAGAUAAGUAGCUAAACUACACACAAAACAUAUUAAAAAUCCUGGGCGUGGCUGCGUUUUAGCUGAUUCAGCAAUAAUUGAUGGUCCCAGUCCUUAACCUACCUGAGUCCAUCUGCAUGUGACAGCAUGUCUAUUUUAGGAUUCUAUUACUAUAGUCUAGCUACCCUCUUUAGUUCCAGCUUUUUCAAAAAAUGAAAGGUGGCCCAUUGCACAGGGCACAAGUGUAAAAUUCUGUAAACUAAUCAUUAAAUUUUACAGAUCAGUUUACAAUAGUCUACAAGUGCGCAUUUACACACCACCAGUAAACGCAGCCACUUGAAGUGCACGUAAUUUGUACCCAGCCUCACCUCACGUCGCCUCCCGAUAGGUGUGGUCCAGGUCAAGCCAAUUACUGAGACUUUCAAAUAAACUUUAGGUGUGGUUUAUCAAAGGCCAUGUGGUGACACGCGCGUUGUUGCUGCCAUGCCGCCAUUGAUUAUUUAGCUAGAGCUAGAGAAUGGAACCAGUCGACUGCUAUACAAGUAUGGGCUACUCAAAAGAAGAAGCCCUACUUCUGGUAAGCUAGCAUUCUUUGCUGACAUGUUUAUCCAAUAUUGCAUUGCUAGAUAUAGUGCAGGGAUCUGUGUGUGUGUGAUUCUUUCUGGUGAUUUGCUUGUCGAGUCUUGUAGGAGGGAUCUGUGUGUGUGUGUGAUUAUUUGCUUGUCAAGUCUUGUAGGAGGGAUCUGUGUUUGUGUGUAUGUGUGUGUGAUCCUUUCUGGCGAUUUGCUUGUCGAGUCUUGUAAGAGGGAUCUGUGUGUGUGUGUGAUCCUUUCUGGCGAUUUGCUCUGUGUGUGUGUAUCCUUUCUGGCGAUUUGCUUGUUGAGUCUUGUAAGAGGGAUCUGUGUGUGUGUGUGUGAUCUUUUCUGGCAAUUUGCUUGUCGAGUGGGAUCUGUGUGUGUGUGUGUGAUUCUUUCUGGCGAUUUGCUUGUCGAGUCUUGUAAGAGGGAUCUGUGUGUGUGUGUGAUUCUUUCUGGCGAUUUGCUAUUUGCUUGUCGUCUUGUAAGAGGUGAUCUGUGUGUGUGUGAUUCUUUCUGGCGAUUUGCUUGUCGAGUUGCUUGUCGAGUCUUGUAAGAGGGAUCUGUGUGUGUGUGUGAUUCUUUCUGGCGAUUUGCUUGUCAAGUCUUGUAGGAGGGAUCUGUGUGUGUGUGUGAUUAUUUGCUUGUCAAGUCUUGUAGUCAAGUCUUGUAGGAGGGAUCUGUGUUUGUGUGUAUGUGUGUGUGAUCCUUUCUGGCGAUUUGCUUGUCGAGUCUAGUAAGAGGGAUCUGUGUGUGCGUGUGAUCCUUUCUGGCGAUUUGCUUUCUGGCGAUUUGCUUGUCGAGUGGGAUCUGUCUGUGUGUGUGAUUCUUUCUGGCGAUUUGCUUGUCGAGUCUUGUAAGAGGAAUCUGUGUGUGUGUGAUCUUUUGUCGAGUCUUGUAGGAGGGAUCUGUGUGUGUGUGUGUGUGAUCCUUGUAGGAGGGAUCUGUGUGUGUGAUCCUGUGAUCCUUUCUGGCAACUUGCAUGUGUGUGUGCGUGCGUGCGUGUAAGUUCCCUAAUUGUUGAGUCUUGUAGGAGAUCUGUGGGUGUGUGUAUAAACAAUUUCCUUGCAAGAGGGAUCGAUCUGUGUUUUGUGUGUUGUGGUCUGUGUGCAUACCAUUUUAAUAAGGUGCCUAAGGAUAUAGGCUACUUCUUGUUUUGCAUACACUCAUUAUUAGAAGUAUGGCAUGCUCUUUCCACUGAGACAUUAUUAGUAUGUCGUAUAAUUAUGUGUAGAUUGUGUUGUCAAAUUAUACGAACCAACCAUUAUGUAUACUGUACAGAACGAAUGCCAAGUAUCUCAGGUAUAUACAGUGGAUGUUUGUCAACAGGUGACCCGCUCAUUUCUAUAGUGCAUGCAUGGCAUGUAGUAGUUGCACAUGUUGAUAAUCUACAUAAUUUCAUACCCACUAGUGUAGUAAUGGACAGUAUUUACUCUUAUGUUAUUUAUGUAGUCAUCAUUUGUCUCUUAUGUAUCAUUUACUCUUAUGUUCUUUAUGUGAUUAUCAAUUACGCAUGCGUAUACUUAUUCUAUGUUGGGGUGAUAUCCUCGCCCACUGUUGUGCCUACUUGUGACAGUCUAGCGUGCGGCCGACUAGCUUAUAAAUAGGGCUAGUUACUACAUUUUGGCGACGAGGAAAUGUCUGAACUGUACUGAAGAAGCUAGAGGAGAAGGUGGAAUCACGAUGGCGACGAUUGGCAAGAUCGAUAUCGAUGAGUUUGACCGAAGCGUAGAGGACUGGGUAUCAGACAUAUUGACAUAUAUUGACCUCUGACCUCUGACCCCAUAAUUAUGGGUCAUCAUGUGAACUUGGAUGACCUUAGAAAGGCGGCAUUUUAUUGCACGUGUUUUUUUGAGAAAGAAAAUGUCAGGAAGAAACUUUUAUAGUAGAUCUGGAUCUACUGCUAACUGCUAGGUCUAAUAGAGCGCGAGCAUCAGCAUCAGCCACUGGAGUCUAUAGCUCGAGGAUACCAACCAGGUGAACCUAGGUGAACGUAAUUCGGUGGAGCCUGAAGAUGUAGUUACAUGGCCAUAGCAGCACAGUAAGCACAGUGCACACUCCUACUGGACCGUAUUGUGCUCCGUUGUAUAACUCGGCAAGUGGCCGCUACUCUCAGGGUCAGGGGUUUCCUCUUCAGGUGUCUCAAAACAAAUCGACAGGUCUUCGCACGCUGAUCCAAGAACAGCAAUUGUUGUUGGAGAGAAUACUUAACAAUCAACAAACGCACGCUGCGCUUGACGAAAGGCUAUCAAAGAUUGAGUCUUCUUCAGUUUCAGCUCUGAACCUGUCCAUGGAGCGAAGAAGCGACUUGUUACUCAUGCCCUGUCUCUCAACUUCACAGCAUAACAAAGCUAAGAUCAACAUAUACGCUGCAAUAGCGCGCUGUUAUCAAAACCUGAGAAGGCAGUGGUCUGAGGAAAAGAAAACUAUGUGGAUAAACCGAAAAUAUCUUCUCGACGUCGAAAACAGGUGUACUGCAUGAUGUCACUUUAUUUUUCAGAUGUUUGAAAGGAGAUCGCAUGUGGUCACGAACUGGUGCCAUCUAACGAUGGCUGCAAAAUUGUACAACACAAAUUGUUCAUUGAAACGUUGGACCAACGGCUAGACAAAAGUCCUAAAGAUAGCUUGGUGGCAAAGAACGAAAGUCCUUGUCCUACCCUCCAGUGGGUGCACCGUUGUGGGCUAUAAGAGGUACAGAGUUCAUAGUAAUGUAUUUAAUUCUGUGGUGCAAAAUUAGCCAUACUUGAUAUGAUGCCUGAGACUGAAGCUGACAAAGACUUGACAGCCACCAAUUGAAACUAAACAAAAGCAAUUAAAUUUACCUUCGUAUUGUGAACUAAUUAUUAAUAAACUGUGUAUUGAUUUUGCUCAUCAUUUUGCUCAUCACUCAUUCUUCUCUUGAUUCUCACAAAAGAGUAAUUGUAUUUAAAUUUAAAAUUAAUAAUUAAUUAAGUGGCAUUUACACAAAUGUGUCCAUAGCAUUUAAAAAUGUAUUUACAAAGAAUUUACAAAAUUAAUGUAUUCACUAGAUAGAUUUACAAAGUGUAAGCUAGCUGUUCUUGCCCUGUGUUGCAUUGAAGAUUCGAACGAUAUGAUUACCUUUGUACUGUGUACGUAACUAUGCUAGUAUAGCUACUAGCUAGCUCGACUACUAGCUGCUAUCAUGGAGCAAGUUAGUAGCUAAGGUAGCUUGAGAUAAGAGGCACCCUCAGCACCCGUGCCACUGCAAUGGUGGAACAUUCAUGUUCACCUAACGCUUGAGGUAGGUUUCACAAACAAACACAGUAGUUACAGCUUAAAUAUGUUGGACAUCACCAGCCGGACAACAUACAUCAGCUAUGUAACUCAGUAGUGGUGGAGGCAAGAAAGUAUACCCCCCCUACCAUUAACCAGAAAGCUGAGAGGACCCCCCCUACCAUUAGUGGUCUUCAGUAAGUGCCACAACGAGGACAUUGCGUCCGGUAAAUAUUGUGCACAAUGAUAAUUGUGCACAAUGACAAAACUUUGUGCACAAACGAAAGUUCUGAACAUACGUGCACAUGCCGGAGAAACACGUGGUCGACUGGCGGCAGGUGGGAGCAAGAGUAUCCGUGCCUACUUCAACAACCUGAAGAUAAGUAUCCCGAAUGGCUCGAUGCAUGCAUGAUGUCACAUCGCACAUCCACCGUCGCGUGCAAGAGCAUGAUAAUGUUGUAUGAUAAUGUUACACUCGUUCCGGAGGCAUACUGUCGUUUACUCUUCCUCUGACGAUUCUAAAAUGUAAGUGCAUGUAUGUAUGUAUGUACAUUUGACAGGUGGUGGACCUAACUAAGAGGAGGAUCUUAGUGAAACACUACUUCAACUACUCACGUGAGGACCACGGUAUUGAAGAGGAGCUGUGGUUAUAGUUUUAAAUUGACCUGCCUCACUCAGACCUCAGACUUCAGUUAGUCACUUGUGAUGUUUUAAAUUCACAUUUGACUCAUAGACUGAGACUACCUCAGUUCACAGACGAGCCUGGGACCCGCGACGCGUUUGUUGAGGAAGGGCCUAAGCCAAAGAAGAAGCGAUACACGAGGUGGUGCCCCCGUCAUUGGUUGCUCAGCCAAACCACCCGGAACUGUCAGCGGCUCAGAGGAAGGCGGCCUACCAGAAUGCAGUGACCGCUGAUGGAUUCUUCUUCAAGGGAGAAUCCUCAGUACACCUUAUCAACCCAUUCAAUGACUAAAGCCAGAUCAAAAUCCAAAAGUACGGAAGUGACUGUACAUUUCGAGAAGCAGAAGAUUCAAUGGGAUGACAUGACAAGCAGGAGGAAACCUACGUGGAAGCACUCAAAUAGUGCGGCUUCAGGAUACCUGGAGGACGCACUCAAGAAUAGAACUUGUGCAAGCAGACUCCACGCUGAAAAAACAUCAGAGAUCUUGCAGAACUGGAGAUGUGUCUUGGCACAACAUGGAGGAGCAAUCUGACGGUUCUAGGACAACAAUGCCACCGAGAUCUGCCACCGAGAUCUGGGAGUUCUUUGAUGGACUCGUGAACAAAGUGAUUGCUGGAGGUGAUCAAUUCGGUACAGAGACCGGGGGGCAGUCAUCAACCUGACGGUCAACAACCCCAAAAAAGAGUCGUCUAGUGGGGGGGUGCAUUGUCACAAGACGAUGUGGCAAGGCUCAGCCAACCUGCUCCGAACCGAACCGAACCACUGAUGAGGAGGAUGCAGGCCUACCUCACAUCUCUGACAAUUUCUUCCUCAAGAAUCACGGAUUAGUGUUAGACCAUAUAUGUCAAGUAGGGUGGACGUCUUGGGUGGACGUCUUGGCAAGAAAAUUUAAUUUCGUAUCCACAGAUGUAAGAAAGCCACGCAAGCAACACAGAACCUGACCGUUGAAGAGGGACGAAAGUUGUCCAAACAGCUGUCACACAGCACAACUGUAGAAGAUAGAUCAGCACUAAAACUUAGAUGUUCAUACAGUUGAUUGUCAAGUCGUGCACAGCUGGUUCAAGCAAGUCUUCCAUACCUGCUGGAUCAGCAGACACCCAAGACACCAAGAUGAGGGCCUUCUUCCUGUGGAAACGAAGGCGAUACAAUCGAGGCGGGAACAAUAGAUGAAGGCAAGAAAUUUGUGACCCAUCCAUCAAACGAGACGCAAAGCAAAUCGUUGACAAGGUGCGAAACCUUGCUAAGGACUACUUGUGUCCUUAUACUUACUUGUGUUAUACUAUAUAUAUUAACCCAAACCCUCCUUACAAUUGUGUUAUUUAUGAUCAUAAAAUUUAUAAUCGGUGUAGUCGUAAGUAGUUUCCAUAUUUGUGAGUCCUGCCCUCUUCAGCAGCGGGGGGAAAAUGACAUAUUUAAGGGACACAAAAAAAUAGUCAUGGUAAUAAAAGCACUAUUUCGGCCACUUUAAGAGGGACCGGCCACCCGAGGGCCACUUUGAGGGCCGGGGCAUAAUGUGUUGGAAAAGUACACUCUCAGUCUGUUUACUUAUCUUUAUUUAUAUUCUGUUAUGUAAUCAUUUAUUCAUAUAGAACAUUCUAGAAUGUCACAUGAUCUUUUUGUGUAGCUGUGAUUGGUUACAUUUAUUUUCAGUCCUAGUCCUUGCUUUUUGUUCGAUUCUGAUUGAUAAAACUUGAAUUCUAACAGGUCUAAGGACUCCUAAGGACUCCUAUAGUGAACUAUUAGGUAGACGUAGCUGAGUUGUGAUUUUCAAGAAUCGAGGAGUGUCGCGGUGGUCCCUCUAAUGGAAAGUCCAAUGCAAGAUGGCAUUGAUAAAAGAAAGACUCUGGAGUAUUGUCGACAGCACCGAAGGUGCCUUGGCGAAGUAGAAAGACAAAGCCCUUGCGACAAUUGUAUUGUCAAUGGACCCGGGUUUAUUAUAUGUGGUUGGUGCUGAUCCAACGGUAAGGUUCUGGCUAACCAGUUGGCGGAAGUUGUUCUCAAUGAGAUUGGCCGAAGGAGCCAUGUCAAAGUUGGAGACCGUGUUCUAGCAAGUUUGCCAGACAGUUACAAUGUCUUAGUAACGGAAGUCAAGAAGAAAAAUUCUCGAUCGAGUGAGGAAGGAGGUUUGGUUGCCCACACCUACAAGAAAAAACCAGUAUGUUUCUUCUGCCAAAAAAACGGCAGCAGCAAGCCUAAAGUAACUAUCUCAGCUGAAAACGAAAGUGACUCUGAAGACGAAGGGGUGCAACACGCAUUGUCUGUGGAUAUUCACGCUCAUAAUCAAUGGAUCUUAGAUUCGGGAGCAACGUGUCACAUGUGCAACACUGAAGCC